AAACCGGCUCUUUUAAGAGCCACCACUUUCUCAAAAGAAUAUAUA
rnacentral:ncRNA from 1 species